UAGGUAGGGAAACUUUGUUGGUCUGAUUACUUUCUUGAAGGAUAUGGACAUAGCAGUCUUUUGAAGAUUUAGAAGCGGGAACUAAGAAAUUUAUCUUUUGGCGGGUUCUGCUGAGCGCAUCCCAGCUGGCCUUGCUUUGUUCCGAAGGAGGAGGAAUGGCUGUCGUUGGAAAAAAAAAAA